rnacentral:lncRNA from 11 species
GACAUUUCCCAGUAGCAUUCUCUCCUGAGGUUUCGCCUGCAUCUAUGGCAGGCAUCUCCAGAGGGUUAUUCAUAUUAUUAUUAUUAGCACGGAAAACUCACAACAACCCAAUAAUAAUAAUAAUAAUAAUAAUAUGAACAAACUUCUGAAGAUGCCUGCCAUAGAUGCAGGCAAAAUGUCAGGAGAGAAUGCUGCUGGGAAAUGUCCUUACAGCCCAAAAACCUCACAGCAACACAUUAUUAUUAUUAUUAGCCGGGAAAACUCACAGCAACCCAAUCAUAAUGAUAAUGAUGAUAAAUAAUAAUUAUAAUAAUAGCUUCCAACCCUGGUCACUUAAAGCAAAACCAGUUUCUUCCCCUGAGCUCAGCCUCCUUGAUGCAAAGCACCUCUGUGUUGUUGUGUGAAACUUUUUCACAAAGCAUCUCAGAUGGAAAGGGUUUUCUUACUUCCCUUCCUUUUGUGUGUGUGUGUGCACAACGCCAUCUCCCCUCAGAAGCAAUUAAUCUUAUUUAAAAAUAAAAGCGGCUCCCCCUUCACUUACUCCAACCCCUCCUGCUCCUCGGCCCCCUCCUUUCCCUCCCAAUGUAUUUUUAGGGGAGGUACAUAAUAUGUGACAGAAAAUAAUUAGGUUACUCGGAUUAGGUUUGCGAGCUUGAAGGAGACGGACACCUGGCCGCGCCUGCCUUGCCUUUUGCCUUUGCCUUUGCUGCACGGACGGCGCUUCUUCUCCUCCUUAUAAUACAUUCUUGUGUGAAGUGAGAAAGGCUGUUGGUAAAACAAUCCCCCGCCGAGCCCCAGUGUUGGGCGAAGCUGAUCCUCUCAUGGCAUUUUGUUUUGAACAGUUGCUGGAGCUGGAAGUUCCCUCAUAAGGCCCUUCCCUCCAAUCAAGGCCCGGCGAAGGAGCCCCAGAGCAAGAGCCAGCGCGCGCCGAACGGUGUGUGGGUUGAGAAGCGCGAGGAGAGCCUCGCGCGCCGGCUCAGCAAACAGGAGGAAACGCAUAGUAGUAGCAUCCUCAUCAUCACAAGCUUGGCGGAAGGAUCCCCUGGGACUCCCGGGGAAGGAGUGGAAGUGGAGUGGAGGGGUGACACUUUCUGCCCAAGUUUCCCACAGACGCACGCGAGGCUGCACCACCUUCGAUGUUGGGGCGUGUGUCUCUGUGUGUUUGUACUUCUUGGGUUACUCCUUUGCGAUUUGUUGUUAUUUGCUUUCCCUCUUUGAAUGUGGCUUUUAUCUUUCCUCCCGUCCUUUCCACCUUCGCCGCAAGGCUGCUGUGAGUUUUCCGGGCUGUAUGGCUACGUUCCAGAAGUAUCCUCUCCUGACGUUCCGCCCACAUCUGUGGCAGAGGUUGUGAGCUAUACCUCAUAUACAAGGCCAUAGCCAGAAAAAAAAAAUUCGUGGUAGGGGGGGUGAAACUUUUUUUUUAAGUGAAUCAUGAAGAGUAGUUUAUUAUUUAUUUAUUUUAUUUAUUUACAGUAUUUAUAUUCCGCCCUUCUCACCCCGAAGGGGACUUAGGGCGGAUCACAUUACACAUAUAAGGCAAACAUUCAAUGCUUUAACAUAGAACAAAGACAAGACAAACACGGGGCUCCGAGCUGGCUUCGAACUCGACCUCUUGGUCAGAGUGAUUCAUUACAGCUGGCUGCAGCUGGUUGCUCAACAGCCCGGCCCAACGCAAAAUAUUUCAGAAAUCAGGCUCCAUUGAUAAACUUCAGUGGACACUCAUGAGAUUUGUUUACAGUUAAAUCAUAGUAAUCAGUGAUUAAAAAAACUGAGAUGUUUUCAGGGGGGCAUUGGAAUCGCUAACCCUCCCCCGCCUCCUUGGCUACAGCCCUGCUCACAUGCCUCGCAACCUCUGAGGAUGCCUG